ensembl:lncRNA
UAACACUGGCUUUAUAGGCUACUCAGGCUUGAUGGUGGUCCCAAGUAAAACGAGUGCUCAUUGUGGGGGUUUAAUAAAACCAAUAAAACCAUUUCACUGAACACAGCAGACAGUGCCAGAACACGUAUUUGUCUUCAUUUGUUGUAACAUUGGUGAAAAUUUGAAUUGAACUGAAAUGCAGAUGACCCUGAGAAAUGACAGUGAAAGGAAAUGUUUUUGAGAUAAAUGCUGACAUUGAAGGAGCUAUAAACGUAAAACAUUUGGAAGAAGACAUAAAGCACAUAUGCAACUGGUUUAGCAAGUGAUGUUGUCUUUCAUUCUUUACAAGUCCAUUGUGAAUCUGCCUUUUAUCAAGAUCAUGUCAUACCUCAUCUGUCUCUCUUCCUCCAUGUCUAGAUCAGGUCUAAACACUGAAUUAUGAAAAAGAUGCAGUGUGAACUUAAAGUGUGUGACUCCUCUUUGAUGAUGGGUGUAGUGACAUUUGUUCUACAUUAAGCCGGUGAUAAUCUGAUUAUGGACUGCGAUCCAUUAAGUCUACUGUUAAAAUGCACCGUGCACUAGUUUUGAACUCGAUACAGGGACGAAACUUGAGAGGCACUGUGAAACAUUAAAGGCUCUUUGAUGUAAUAUUUAACCCAUCUGCACUAGAGGGGAGAGCUACAUAAAAUGCGCUUGGGACCGUGGAACCGGGCGAUGUGAGAAAUGGGAUGUGUGAUUCUCUCUUGUCCGGAGUCGUGCAAAAGCAUGAAACAGCAGACUGCGUUGCGACCGUUAGCUCGUCGCACUUUUAUCGGAGCAAUAAAACUAAACCCUUAUUGCCUCGCCGGGGAGUGGAUCCCCCCUUGGAAAAAAUAAAUAAAAAAUACUUUCACCAGACAGCAAACAGGAGGAGCGAGGCCGCUGUCACUCCCUGCGUCAGCAAGCUCUCUCUUUUAACCACACAUUUUUGAACUUCUGAAUGCACACUACAUUUUGGACCGGAUGAUGUUGCAAGUGACUGGUCUCAGUGGGACUUCAGCAAAGCAUUGCUAUUCAGGAAUGCAAUACAGCAAAAGAACCCUCAUAAUCAUCCAGUCCACACACAGCUCAGACUUAGACUGGGCUUAAAGUCUUUUCCCCCUGAUUUUGCCAGGAAAUGUAGUGGCAUGGAUCCACGGUGAGACAAAACACAACCAUGACAUCACUCCAGCCUCAAAAAUCCAAACAGUUCCCUCAUUAGCAUACAUUCCGACCUAAGCAUUGUGAAUAAUAAUGAUUUCUGUCUCCUACAGCAGGCAGUUGGGCUCUGACCACCAACAAACAGCAGCCAAGUAAAAUACCAGUAAAGAGAAUGACGGUGGGUUUGCUCAUGUGCAGGACUUGCCAAAAGGACUCAAGCUAUAAUUUGAAUGAAAAAAUGGUUUUUCAUUCAUAGUGCUGGACAAAGCCACAAAGCAUGGGGAAAGUACGUUGAAAGUCCGAAUGGUGCCGGCUGGGUGAGAAUGCUUAAAAGUUGUUAGCAUUUCUCAUGUUUGGAUUGGUACACUAAACAUUGGUGUCCACAGGAAAAUGUGUAUGCAGAGAAUAUAAG